rnacentral:misc_RNA from 1 species
UCUCGUUCCUUUUCCCGUUUUAGAUCUCGGUCUCGGUCUCUACUUCUCCUGUCAUACUUUCUACUCCUAUCAGGUGAGCUUGUUUCAGGUCUAUCCUGUUCACUUGCUGCUUUAUUGUCACUUGUUGUCUCAUCAUCAAUUUUAUCUUCAGCUGUGUCUUGUCUCGCUAUAUCUGCAUCAGAGUCCCCAUCCCUUGACUUAGCUGGCAGUUCUGAGUUCGUAUUCCCAGGUGUUUGUGGAGGUGGUGGAGGCAAAGGUUUGGUUUUCAACCUUUCUUCUAUCAUGCUAGUAAGUUUCUCCAAAGCUUCUUUGUCAGCUUCCUUGUCUUCAUCAGUUACAAUCCCAAAGUUGGCAAGAUCAUGACUUUCUUUGUUCCCCUUCUCCUUGUCAAUGUUAGAGUCCUCCUCAGUGGAUUUUGAAGGUUCAUUCUUUUCAACACCUAGGGCUGUUCCAUCCUCCUUGUCAAUCCUUCCAGCUUGAUUUUCUUUGAGAUUCUUGGAGUUUUCAGUUUUCUUUUCAAC